rnacentral:rRNA from 1 species
GAUGAACGCUAGCGGCAGGCUUAACACAUGCAAGUCGAGGGGUAUAGUUCUUCGGAACUAGAGACCGGCGCACGGGUGCGUAACGCGUAUGCAAUCUACCUUUCACAGAGGGAUAGCCCAGAGAAAUUUGGAUUAAUACCUCAUAGUAUAAUUGAAUGGCAUCAUUUAAUUAUUAAAGUCACAACGGUGAAAGAUGAGCAUGCGUCCCAUUAGCUAGUUGGUAAGGUAACGGCUUACCAAGGCGACGAUGGGUAGGGGUCCUGAGAGGGAGAUCCCCCACACUGGUACUGAGACACGGACCAGACACCUACGGGUGGCUG